UAUUAAUGAGUUCUUUCUUAUCUUAAAUAACUUUUCAUUUUUCACUUCUUUUAUUUUUAAUGUCUAUAUAGUAUUCUCUACAAUCCCAAAUUCUGGAUUGACGCCCCAGUACCAGAGGGCACGCCAAUCCCAGAGAGCAUCCAUCUGAAAGCAGGUGAGGUAACACAAGAAAAACUAACAGGAUGGAGACUACCUGAUUCUUCACCUAUGGCCUCAGCUUCAAAUGCAAGAAGUCCAGCAACUGUCUGAGUUGGUGGAUAUUCUGUCAGAGACUGCGUGAACAAUGUUAUGAACAGAAUGAUGUCUAAUUGUCUUAUGGCAAAGUUCAAUAUGAGGGGUGGUGGACAUCUGGAAAAGAAGUCUUUUAAAGGCACACCUUUGUAUUAUGUUAUUCAAGAUGCUGUGAAGAGGUGGAGCCCAAAUGCCACAGACUCGGAAAUAGAUGCAGCUAUGGCAGACGACUUCAAGCACGCUCCAGGAAGAGCUGGGGGUUGUGAAUUCACUAAAUAAGCCAAACAGCUCUAAUGUGUAAAAGAGAGAGUUCACAAAAAAAUGAAAAUUGUUAUAAUUUUCUUACCCACAUGUUUCAAACAUGUAUACAUUUCUAUUUUCUGCUGAACACAAAGAUUGAAAAAUGUUUGUAACCAAGCUAACUGUCAAUAAUUUUUUUUUACAAUUGUAGUAAUGGGUUGUGAGAUCUGCUUUCUGCGUUCUAUUCUUUCAAAUAUCUUUGUGUUCAGCAGAACAUAGAAGGGUAUACAGGUUUGAAACAUAAGAGAGAGUAAAUUACUAAAUAAUCAUUUUUGGGUGAACUAUCCUUUUAUAUAGUAAAGUAUUUUGAAAUUGUUAUUAUAGUUAAACGGUUUAAAAAAAAUAAAAAGUGCUAAAUCAGAA